rnacentral:lncRNA from 1 species
GGAAAAAGGUUCCGGCCUCAGCCGGCGCACCUGGCGGAGGAGGAACCUCGCGACGCGCUCUCGGGCAUCGGUUUCUCCCAGCAAAGCUUGGAGGGUUUAGCUGCGCGGAGAGCUCAGCGAGCUCUUCUGUGUCUGUUUGGGGCGUGUGGGCUCCGGGAGCGUGAGGACCGGGAAGCUAGGAGGCUCCUUCCCUUCUGGCGGCUCCCUCACUGAGACCGGGCGGUUUGGUUGCGGGGGAAGUGGAGACGAGCCACCCUUGACCUUUGACUGCAAGAACUCACCUUGAGCAGGAUAGAGGCACGUGGACGGUGACCCUCGGGAUGCAAUAAAUGCUGAGACAGAUCAGGUGUGCAAGGCACAGAGCUAGAGGCCAGAGGCCUUUCUUCUCCAACCUUCAGUCACCUCUUUUUAAAGUGAAGCCAGCAUCCUCCUCGGGGUUUACUGUGAAAAUUAAGUGAGCUGACGCGUGCUGUGUUUUGAUGUUGCUUGGCUCCUACAAACAUUGAGUGGGCCAGACACUGUUCUGAAAAAUACGCAGUCGACUUUUGAACAGCACAGGCUUGAACUGCAUGCGGCCACUAAUACUCGGACUUCCUUCUGCCUCUGCCAUCCCUAAGACAGCAAGACCCACCCCUCCUGCUCCUCAGCCUACUCGAUGUGAUGAUGAUGCAGAGAUUCAGAGAGUCUAAGCAACUUUUCUAAAUCAUCUAGCUGGAAUUCAGUAACUGAGCCAGGAUCUACCCCAGGUCUGUCUGACUCCAAAGCCUGUGUCUUCCAGCACACACUGCUGCUGCCUGGGGAAUGUGGAUAUGAUGUCUGGAGCUCUAGCAACCAUAUCAGACCACAAGGAUGAAUGUACACCCCAGGAAUGGAAGAGAGGAAAGCCAGAAAAAGACUCGGUCCCUGAUGGCUGAAGAGCUACCAUACCUGCCCCUAGAUCUUCUAUUUCUGAUCAUCUUCUAUGCAAGGCCUGGAAUGUAAUCAUGGAUAGCCAUGGAUGAUCAGCUUUCAUCAUGUGGGCAUGGAACAAGAUGGAAGGAAGCUGGGGCCCUGAGUGACCUGUGGAGCAGAGGCCUUUGCCCACCCUGGGCUGCCUGAUUUCCCCUGGACUAUCAUGAGACAGAAGAAAAAGCUUCUAUCUUAUUUGAACCACUGUGUUUUGGGAACCUUGGACUAGAGCAGCCUAGCCUUCAUACACUAACAAGGUGUAUGUGUCUGCUCUUUGUUGCUUUUGUAGAUGGUUGUGUUAUAAGCCUGAAUGCAGAAGUUGUUCCCCAGACUACUGGAUUUGCUGCCUUUUAAAACAGGUUUAUUGAACUAUAAUUGACAUACAAUGAACUGCAUAUAGGUAAAGUGUACAAUUUGAUAAGUACACUUUUUGAGCAAAUCCACCCUUUGUUCUGGAAGAAGACACUCUAUAGUCUCAGGCUGUUUCUUUACCAACAUCAACAAGCUAGUCUUAAACAGAGGAACCUCAGUGCCUCACUUUCAAGACAAUCAAGAUUAUUUCCCAACAUUCCACUAGUAGAGGGUCAGAAACAGAGUUAAAAGUUCUCAGACUAGAGGUAGAAUUGAAACCCCAGCUGAGAAGUAUCAAGGUGCCCUCCUUCCCCAAAGCUACAUAUUCUUGUGUCAGGAUCUUACCAGGAAAUGGAAGGCACAUUUACACAGGGCAGCCCAAGAGACUGUUUCAAAGGAAACCAGCAAGAUGUGACAAAGCACCCCAAGACUAGCGACACUGGGAGACCUUCUCACUUGACUUAAAAGGCUGGGGCAGGAGAGUUACAGGACCCAGUAUUAGCUGUAGCCAAAGCCUGGGCAGGGCCACCUAACAUGAGCUGCACCCUUCUGUAGAGCAGCACAGACCUUGUGCAUCUGAGGCCCAGCAGGAUGGGGCCUUGCUCAUCCUUCCCUUGCAGUUCUUGCUAAUGCUUCCUGUUGCCUGAACCCAGCUGGAAGCCAGAGGGCAAGGGAAAUCAAUUGAGACAGAUAAUGGAGGUAAUCCCCUGGGCACAGGGCAGCAUGGCAGAGGUAAGGAGUCUGUCUAGAGCCACAAAGGAAGAGGACUGAGUCCAGAGGUGAAAGCAGUCACGUAUCCCCAAAGACACCUGCUACACAUUUGGGCUUUGAUUUAUCAAUGAGAAGGCUUGAGGGACAGUGGGAAAAAUGAUGAGGAGUCAUUAGGUCCUUGUGGAAAUGGUGCCCUUGAAGGAUGAGCCUGUAAUCACUAGGUACACGUGGGUGGAUGAAUGCUGGUGAAACAGGUGGAGGGAAUGAAAGGACAGAGGCAGCACGAGAACACUGUAAGCAGAGCAGAAGUCCAUGCAAAAGCCAGAGAUGUGAGACAGCACGGGUACAUAUAGGGACCCGCAGGUGGUCUGGAGUGGCUUUGCUGUGGGUUGUGAUGAGAUAUCCACUGUGUUGGAGCUCUGGAACAAAAAGGAGGUCAUCUAAGCUGGUUGCUUCUGUUUUUUUCUUUUCUUUUUUUUCCGGAUGCAUUUCAAUUAGGUGAGGGGUACCAGGCAGAAACCCCUCCUGAAUAUAAACCCUCUGUCUUAUUGUACCAGUUAAAGAUGAACGAUGGCUCACUUCCUAUUGGGUACUAAGUUCAUUAUUUGGGUGACAGGAUCAAUAGAAGCCCAAACCUCAGCAUCAUGCAAUAUACCCAUGUGACAAACCUGUAUCCCCUAAAUCUAAAAUAAUAAUAAAAAAAGAUGUACCAUAGCUCUUAAUUGCUCUUCAAAUCACCCACACCAUUAGAGAAAGCUAUUUCCACCCCAAUCUGAAUUAAAGAAUUCUACAAUCUCCUACAGUCCGAAAGAGAGACUUCAGCUAAAGAGAAAGCUGGUGCUCCUCUUGCUAGCUGAGUGAAUUCUGAUCCUCUUUUUCAUUUUUAUUUUCUUGCUUGAACUCUGCUUUGUUAAAUCAAACACCAGCCCAAAACUGAGCCCAUGGAUCACCAUAUUGGCAGCCUUAUCCUAGAAUCUCAGGGCUGGAAAGAACUCCGAGUACAGCAUUCUCCAGUGUUGGGUGUCAACAGGAGCAGAGUUGGUCUCUUUCGAGAGCUUCCUGGAGAGUCUAUAAAAGCCUGGCUUUUGAACUCUUAUAUUUGGAGGCUGAGAUUCAGAAGGCCUGGGGUGGGGCUUGAGAAUAUAAAUUCUUUAAAAAAAUUUUUUUCUUUUCCUUAGAUAAAUCUUAGAAACCAAAGGGAAUUGAAUUCUUAAGAGGACUUGAAAAUGAUUCUAAUAUAGUCGGGUUAGGGGAAAUCUGGUCUUGAGCUUUUUCUUGGGAGAUGUGGUGAGUCCAAGGCAAGCCAGGCUUCAAUUCUGAAUCUACACUCUUCCCACACAUCUAUGUGGCCUCUGUGCCGAGUCUGAGUUUUAUGUUUUACAAAGAAAACUAGGAGAAAAACUGUUAUUCUUCUGAUUAACAGAAAAGUUGUCCAACUGGCUACACUUGAAUUAUAUCCCCUGAUUAUUAAACUCAGGCUUCUUUAGUUUUCAUUUAUUUUAUUUCAUUGCAUGGAGAUGUUUUAAAAGAGGAAGGCAAGGGGUGUGGGGGAAGGAUUCUGGGAUAGCGACCAUUCUCACCACAUGCAGAAGGCCAAUACUGCUUCCAGAAGGAGACACAAGGAAUCCUUCACUGAGUGAAAGUUUUUUUUCUUCCAGAGAAUAUCAGUAUUCCUACUUUAUAACAAGCCAGGAGCUUUUUCUGCUUCCUGAUUUAAAAAUUGAUUCCUGACUGCAUAGUUCUCACACAAUAGCUUCCUUCUUGCAGGGGCAGUGUGAUUGCCUGGAAUAUAAAUUCUUAGUGGGUUGACCAGGGAUCACGAGCAGUUAUUAUGUUCUCUGCUGCUCUUAACAUGUUGUGAUUCUCAAUAAAUAAUCCAGAGCCAAAGCAUGGUGUUUUGUUUUGCUUUGUCUCAGUGAGUUUUCCAAACUGUAUUUACUAUCUCAAAGUGAGAGCAUCGCAGUUUUCUGAGCCAACUGCAGCAAUUUUCCAGAUCUGGAGAGUAUUUUUGAAGAUUAUUUCUUUGGAGAUUUUCUCUCUUAUUUGGUUUGUUUCCUCUUUGAUAAUUUUUAUUAUUCAUAUGUUGAAUUUUUUGAGCAGAGCUUUAAUUUUCUUAUCUUUUCUCCUCCUUUUUUCCAUUUUUUUCUUUGCCACUUUUCUCCCCCUUCUGGGAUAUUUUCUCAAAUUUUUUCUUCUAAACUUUUAUCUUUUCUGUGAUUAUAAUUUUAAAUUCCAAAAUACCUUUUUUUGGAGAGGGGAGUGGAGGGAAGUGUUCUCUGACUGUUCCUUUUAUAUAGUAGCCUGUUCUUAUUUCAUGGAUGUAAUAUCUUUCCUCUUUCUUUUAUAGUCUGUUUUCCCCAAGUUACUUUUUUCCCUUGUUUGUUUAUUUGUGUCUCUGUAUUUCAUCUCGGAGCAUUCCUUAGGUGUUUGGUGAUUUCCUCCUUCUCCCUCUCUCUGCUCCCUGCAUUGUUAUAAUUAUCUCUGAGCUGACCUCCCAACUUAGGUCUUUCUCAUUUUCUAGUAAACUUGGCAUAAUCCUGUGAAACCCAUCUUUUUUAAGCCCCCAAUUCAACAUGUGAUUCUGUUGGUGAAAAGCCUUCCAUGGCUCCAUAUUUCCCACUUCAUCAGAACUUAACUUUGCCAUUUUUGACAUUUUCAGUCUCUGACCCCACUCAGGCUAGGCACCAUACCUCUUGCCUCAGAAUGUGGAUACUCUUGUGUGUUCAGAGUUGGAGAUUAGGAAAUAAUACUAUUAAAAGUAAUAGCAAUCGAUGAUAAAGCCUUCAUAUGCUUUAUUCACAGACAUUACUGACUUCUCCUGUUAGCUCUGUCGUGCUUACAUCAUGAUGCCCAUUUUUCAGGUAAAGAAAUAGUGGCUCAAACAAG